UGAGGAAUAUUGGUCAAUGGGCGGAAGCCUGAACCAGCCAAGUAGCGUGCAGGAUGACGGCCCUACGGGUUGUAAACUGCUUUUAGGCGGGGGUAAAGGGGCGGACGUGUUCCGCCUUUGCAAGUACCGCCAGAAAAAGGACCGGCUAAUUCCGUGCCAGCAGCCGCGGUAAUACGGAAGGUCCGGGCGUUAUCCGGAUUUAUUGGGUUUAAAGGGAGCGUAGGCGGGCUAUUAAGUCAGCUGUGAAAUCCGGCGGCUCAACCGUCGGCCUGCAGUUGAUACUGGUGGCCUUGAGUGCGCGCAGGGGGCGUUGGAAU
rnacentral:rRNA from 1 species